UUUGCCACUGAAUUCAUAUCCAAAGGAGACUUUGUUGUGGAGUACCGAGGUGAACUGCUUACACAACAGGAGGGCGAGGUCCGAGCUGAUCAGUACAAUGAUUCUGCAAAGGUGUUUCUUUUCCAUUUCCAAUGGAAAGGAAGAACAUGGUGCAUUGAUGCAUCUGAAGAAGACUCCUCCCUUGGGAGACUCGUUAAUGAUGAUCACUAAAGACUCAAUCUCAAAAUGAAGGCCAUACAAGCAAACGAUGAGCCACACUUGUGCCUCUUCGCGACUCGAGAUAUUGCAGCUGGCGAAGAGUUGACUUAUAGUUACGGUGAUUCAGACUGGCCAUGGAGAACACAGGUCAUCAAAACUGAAUUGUCGUCCAGCCCAAAACCUGGUAAGAACUUUA